ACUGCUUGCUAAACCUAAAGGCGCAAUGAAAGUAAAGGUCCGCCUCGCGCGGACCGAGGGAGGAUGGGCCCGCCUUCGGGCGGACCCCGCACUCCCGGGGCGUCUCGUUCUCAUCGCGAGGAGAGGCGCACCCAGAGCGUACACGCUGGGACCCGAAAGAUGGUGAACUAUGCCUGGUCAGGACGAAGUCAGGGGAAACCCUGAUGGAGGUCCGUAGCGAUUCUGACGUGCAAAUCGAUCGUCGGAACUGGGUAUAGGGGCGAAAGACUAAUCGAACCUUCUAGUAGCUGGUUCCUUCCGA
rnacentral:rRNA from 1 species